rnacentral:rRNA from 1 species
UACGUAGGGGGCAAGCGUUGUCCGGAAUUAUUGGGCGUAAAGAGCGCGUAGGCGGUCCGAUAAGUCGGCUGUGAAAGUCAGGGGCUCAACCCUUGGAAGCCGGCCGAUACUGUCGGACUAGAGUCCGGAAGAGGCGAGUGGAAUUCCCGGUGUAGCGGUGAAAUGCGCAGAUAUCGGGAGGAACACCAGUGGCGAAGGCGGCACUCUGGGCCGGUACUGACGCUGAGGAGCGAAAGCGUGGGGAGCGAACAGG